AUGGCAUCAGCACCGCCACCGCAGCGCCGCCGCGCCUCGCCGCUGGCGAUCCCGGACGAGCUCGUCGAAGAGAUCCUCCUCCGCCUCCCGCCCGACGACCCGGCCUGCCUCCUCCGCCUCAAACUGUGGACAAGGAAGGCGACCACUGAUGCACCAUGGGUAGUGAACUGCAUCUUCUGCUUGGAGAAUUUGCUUCCAGCUAGCGAUCUCUUGGUCCCGGGUAUAAAUUAUAGAGUGACCGUGCUGGGCUUUACUGAGGAAGCACAAGUCAUUUUCGUUGACACGAUCGAUAGCCUCUUCACAAUCGAUCUGCAAUUAGGGUUGGUGACGGAGGUGCCGGAUGAUCGUGGCUUCUGCAAUCUGAUUCCAGUUGUCGGCUUCUACACUCCUGUGCCCCGACGCGAGAACCAGAAUCUGCUGGCGUUGAAACCUUAUGAGGAGGCAAGUGGUGAGGGGGGAGAAAACAGUAGUUCAGACACAUCGGCUGUUUGA
rnacentral:rRNA from 1 species